UACGGAGGGUGCAAGCGUUACUCGGAAUCACUGGGCGUAAAGCGCGCGCAGGCGGCUAGAUAAGUUGGAAGUGAAAUCCUAUGGCUCAACCAUAGAACUGCUUCCAAAACUGUUUAGCUAGAGUCUGGGAGGGGAAGAUGGAAUUAGUAGUGUAGGGGUAAAAUCCGUAGAGAUUACUAGGAAUACCAAAAGCGAAGGCGAUCUUCUGGAACAGUACUGACGCUGAGGCGCGAAAGCGUGGGGAGCAAACAGGAUUAGAUACCCUGGUAGUCCACGCCCUAAACGAUGAAUGUUAGUCGUCGGGACUCUAGUAGUUUCGGUGAUGCAGUUAACACAUUAAACAUUCCGCCUGGGGAGUACGGUCGCAAGAUUAAAACUCAAAGGAAUAGACGGGGACCCGCACAAGUGGUGGAGCAUGUGGUUUAAUUCGAAGAUACGCGAAGAACCUUACCUAGCCUUGACAUAUUUUAGAACUCCGCAGAGAUGUAGAGGUGCCUUCGGGAGCUAAUAUACAGGUGCUGCACGGCUGUCGUCAGCUCGUGUCGUGAGAUGUUGGGUUAAGUCCCGCAACGAGCGCAACCCUCGUUCUUAGUUACUAACGGUUCGGCCGAGGACUCUAAGAAGACUGCCUUCGUAAGGAGGAGGAAGGUGAGGACGACGUCAAGUCAUCAUGGCCCUUACGGCUAGGGCAACACACGUGCUACAAUGGUUAGGACAAUGAGACGCAAUACCGCGAGGUGGAGCAAAUCUAUAAACCUAAUCUCAGUUCGGAUUGUAGUCUGCAACUCGACUACAUGAGGCUGGAAUCACUAGUAAUCGUAGAUCAGCUAUGCUA
rnacentral:rRNA from 1 species